UACAGAGGGUGCAAGCGUUAAUCGGAAUUACUGGGCGUAAAGCGUGCGCAGUCGGUUAUUUAAGUCGGAUGUGAAAUCCCCGGGCUCAACCUGGGAAUUGCAUUCGAUACUGGAUAGCUAGAGUUCGGCAGAGGGAAGCGGAAUUUCUGGUGUAGCGGUGAAAUGCGUAGAUAUCAGAAGGAACAUCAGUGGCGAAAGCGGCUUCCUGGACCAGAACUGACGAUCAGGCACGAAAGCGUGGGGAGCAAACGGG
rnacentral:rRNA from 1 species